UGAAAGUGAUUACUAUUUAGUGUGGCAUACUUCACAUUUCACUGGCCUGAGACUUUCAUCGACAACCCUUGUUGGAGUACUGGUGCACUAGUGAUUUCUAAGCAAAUAAUAAUCCCAGAUACUGGACAACUGCUGAGCACUCUAGUACAAAAUGGCUGCUAAUCACCAAGUUGGCUGCUAUACACAUUGGAGGUGGAUGGGGUGAGUGACCCACACAAUGUAAAUCAGUGGUUCCCAACCAGGGGUACUUGGCCUAUGCACAGAGGGUACUUGAGAAGACUCAUGAGACCAUAGGCCUACUGGUAGAAUGGACUUGAGGGCGUACUUCAGGGGUACACCGGGCAGAGCAGAAUUCAGUUGGUGGUACAGCAACAGAAAAAGGAUAGGAACCACUGCUGUAAAGUACUUGUAGCGGUGAAAAAGUUGAAGACAUUUAAAUAGAAUCCCUUACUAUGACAAUGACUAGAACCUGAACCACCUCUUCAGACAAUCCCCUCUUUCCCCAACACAGUUUUAUUGAGCUAAGGAUCCAUACCACUAUUAGCUGGCGAGCUAAUUGUCAACGCAGAGAGAUCCCCUAGGCAACACCCGGAGGUCCCAGUGCUGUGUUGUACAUGUCGGUUCUGCUGUGUCAUUUGGUUUCCCCUCAAGGCAGAAGCGUAGUGUGAGGCAGCACUUACAUUAUUCAGAGCUAACAUGAGAUGGGUGUGUGCGUACUUGUGCGUGUGUGUGAGGGAGAGCAGGUGCGGAGGAGACCUGAGUAGGCGCAUCACAGCAUCAGAUGAAAGAAGGGAAGAGAAACCUGUCCUGGCAAGAGGUAAUAAAGUAAUUGAAGGCAUUAUAUGCCACAUGUUCGCAUGCUUGGAUAGAAGUGAACUUGUCAACUCAUCUGAUAUGGGUAGGUUGUUAUCAACUCAUCUGAUAUGGGUAGGUUGUUAUCAACUCAUCUGAUAUGGGUAGGGUUGUUGUCAACUCAUCUGAUAUGGGUAGGUUGUUAUCAACUCAUCUGAUAUGGGUAGGUUGUUAUCAACUCAUCUGAUAAGGGUAGGUUGUUAUCAACUCAUCUGAUAUGGGUAGGUUGUUAUCAACUCAUCUGAUAUGGGUAGGGUUGUUGUCAACUCAUCUGAUAUGGGUAGGGUUGUUGUCAACUCAUCUGAUAUGGGUAGGGUUGUUGUCAACUCAUCUGAUAUGGGUAGGGUUGUUGUCAACUCAUCUGAUAUGGGUAGGGUUGUUGUCAACUCAUCUGAUAUGGGUAGGGUUGUUGUCAACUCAUCUGAUAUGGGUAGGGUUGUUGUCAACUCAUCUGAUAUGGGUAGGGUUGUUGUCAACUCAUCUGAUAAGGGUAGGUUGUUAUCAACUCAUCUGAUAUGGGUAGGUUGUCAUCAACUCAUCUGAUAUGGGUAGGUUGUUAUCAACUCAUCUGAUAUGGGUAGGUUGUUAUCAACUCAUCUGAUAUGGGUAGGUUGUUAUCAACUCAUCUGAUAUGGGUAGGUUGUUGUCAACUCAUCUGAUAAGGGUAGGUUGUUAUCAACUCUUCUGAUAAGGGUAGGUUGUUAUCAACUCAUCUGAUAUGGGUAGGUUGUUAUCAACUCAUCUGAUAUGGGUAGGUUGUUAUCAACUCAUCUGAUAUGGGUAGGUUGUUAUCAACUCAUCUGAUAUGGGUAGGUUGUUAUCAACUCAUCUGAUAUGGGUAGGUUGUUGUCAACUCAUCUGAUAAGGGUAGGUUGUUAUCAACUCUUCUGAUAAGGGUAGGUUGUUAUCAACUCAUCUGAUAAGGGUAGGGUUGUUGUCAACUCAUCUGAUAUGGGUAGGUUGUUGUCAACUCAUCUGAUAAGGGUAGGUUGUUAUCAACUCAUCUGAUAUGGGUAGGGUUGUUGUCAACUCAUCUGAUAUGGUAGAGUUGUUAUCAACUCAUCUGAUAUGGGUAGGGUUGUUGUCAACUCAUCUGAUAUGGGUAGGGUUGUUGUCAACUCAUCUGAUAUGGGUAGGGUUGUUGUCAACUCAACUGAUAAGGGUAGGUGGUUGUCAACUCAUCUGAUAAGGGUAGGGUUGUUAUCAACUCAUCUGAAAAGGGUAGGGUUGUUAUCAACUCAUCUGAUAAGGGUAGGGUUGUUGUCAACUCAUCUGAUAUGGUAGGGUUGUUAUCAACUCAUCUGAUAAGGGUAGGGUUGUUGUCAACUCAUCUGAUAUGGGUAGGGUUGUUGUCAACUCAUCUGAUAUGGGUAGGGUUGUUGUCAACUCAUCUGAUAUGGGUAGGGUUGUUGUCAACUCAUCUGAUAUGGGUAGGGUUGUUGUCAACUCAUCUGAUAUGGGUAGGUUGUCAUCAACUCAUCUGAUAUGGGUAGGGUUGUUGUCAACUCAACUGAUAAGGGUAGGUGGUUGUCAACUCAUCUGAAAAGGGUAGGGUUGACAACCUGGUACAAGAGCUGCUGAAAGACAGUACACUCAGAUUAUCACACACGCACGCACACACACACACACACGCCAACCUGAAGAUAAGUAAUUUAGCAGUAACUUCCCUGUAAAUGUCUAUUAAUUUAUCCAGAUUUUUUAUGUUUCGAAGUUGACCACAUUCAUGUAUAGUCAUCCUCUUCAGGGAUGGGUAUGUUACUUUCUGAAUGUAAUCCGUCACCUGUCCAAAAUUGUCAUCGGUAAUGUAACUUUUGGACUCCCCAAACUCAGUAACGUAAUGAUCUGAUCACUUUCAGUUACUUUUUACUUCCCUCAUAAAAGGCAUUAGACGAAGACAAAAAGGAUCCAUCAAACGCAUUAGGUAUGUGUUAGGGCUUGCUCAGGUGGAACAAACUUAAAUGUGCACCUUUUUCUUUUUUCAAGAAAAAACAAAUUUGCAAACAUCCAUUCUGAAUUUAAAAGUAAUCCUAGAAGUAAUCAUCUACUUUCUCAAAAGUAUCUCUAAUCUGAUUACAAUAUUUUGCUGGUAUGGUAAUAUAUUACAGUUAGUUACAUGUAGCUGAUUACAUGUGCUGAUUACAUGUAGCUGAUUACAUGUAGCUGAUUACAUGUAUCUGAUUACAUCCCGGGGAAGGACUGCCCGUUCCAUGAUCUCGCCAUCACGGUUG